rnacentral:lncRNA from 1 species
CAGGGAUGGAGGGGAUGAGGAAUGAGGAGGGAGCAUUUAAUGGGCACAGUUUCCGUAUGGGAUGAUGAAAGAGUUCUGGAGAAGGAUGGUAGUGAUGGUCACGCAACAGUGUCAAUACACUUAGUGCCACUGAACUGUAUACUUAACGAUACAUUUCAUGUUAUGUAUAUUUUGCCCCAAUAAAACAAUUACAACUUUGCUUUUAUUCUCUAAUUUUGUUGUGCAGAUUGACAUUUGAAAGCCACUGCUCAGAAUGAAGUAAUCUCCGAUGUCUUAGAUAGAGGAAGGAAGGCCUGUGGAUGCAGCCUAGAACCUUGUGAUGAGGACAAGCAGGUUAACAUACAAGGAAACUGAUGCAUGCAGAGAUUAAAUACCUUGCUAAAUACCUUGCUCAAGAUCUCGAAGACACAGCAGGAACAAAAGAGAAACCUGGCCAUUGCACCAGGAUAAGCAGUGUGAUACACAGAGAAGUCUGAGAGUGAAGAGACCUGAAUUCUUGUGUUGAUUCUGCCAUUACUUUGACAUGAAAUGUUGGACAAGGCAAUAUGCCACCACAGGCCUUACUUUUCUACUCUACAGGGAUUGCAAUGCUUUUUUGGACCUCAGAGGGUUGAGGUUAGCACAAAAUAUGUGAAGGAUUUGAAAAGAAUUAAACUCUAUAUUAAUGUAAAUAUUACCAAGUCUUUUUAGAAUCCCUGCUAGCAUAAAGUGUGUGUGUGUGUGGUGUGUGUUUGUGGUGGAAGCUGGGGGAGAGUAAAGAAACUUCUCAAUGGCUAUCCUGGAUCAAACAUAUUUGAAUUAUAUUUCUGUGUGUCUGUAAGCACACACGUUAUAAUUCUGUGCCUGUGGGAUGGAGAGUGUAGAUGGGAAUGCAGAAGGAUAUAAGAUACUACCUUACAUUUCAGGGACUUGAUGCCUUUGUAAUGUAUACAUAGACUCAAUUUUCUAAGCACUACUAUCUACCCAGUUAUGCAUAUUCUGGGCACAAAACCAGAUAGGAUUUCUCCAUUUCUGGUAUCUGCAGAAAAACAGAAAUAUCUAGAUUGAUAGUUGCUAUGGUUUGAACGUCCUCUCAUAAAUUCACGUUGAAAUCUAAUUGCCGUUGUGAUGGUAUUAAGAGAUGGGACCAUUAAGAGACAGUUAGACCAUGAGGUCCCAUCCUCACAAAUGUAUUAAUGACAUUAUUGUGAAAGUGGGUUGGUUAUUGUGGGGGUGGUUUCCCAGGUGAGUUUGGCCAACUCCCUCUGUCUGGUAUGCUUGCUUGCCCUUCCACCUUCUUCCAUAGGAUGGCUCAGCAUGAAGGUACUCCCCAGAUGCCAGUGCCAUGCUCUUGGAUUUCUCAGUCUCCAGAACCAUGAACCAAAUAAACUUCUGUUCAUUAUAAAUUACUCAGACUCAGGCAAUCUGUUAUAGAAGCAGAAAAUAGACUAAGGCAAUAAUUUAAUAUAGAACUCAGUGAAGAUAAAAAUAAAAUCAUCUACCAGUACACACUUAUCAGAAUGGCCAAAACCUAGAACAUUGACAACACCAAAUGCUGGCCAGAAUGUGGAGCAACAGGAGUUCUCAUUCAUUGCUGGUAGAAAUGAAAAAUGGUACAGCCACUUUGGGAGAAAGUUCAGUAGUUUCUUUCACAAAACGAAAUACAUCUUUACCAUAUGAUCCAAUAAUCAAAUUCCUUGGUAUUUACCCAAAGAAGUAGAAAACGUUCACACAAAAACCUGCACACAGAUGAUUAUAGCAGUUUUGUGUAUAAUUUCAAAAACUUGAGAACAACCAAGAUGUCCUUCAGUAAGUGAAUGGGAUAAACUAGUACAUCCAGACAAUGGAUUUACUAAUGAAAACUUUACAUUUCAAGUCAUGAAAAAACAUGGAGGAGCCUUGAAUGCAUAUUACAAAGUGAAA